CGAGUGCGAAAAACGGUGAUGAGUGACUUUUUUUCAGUGCCAUUGUAACUCCGAACGGUCACUAAACAAACCGUUGUUAGCAACACCUGUAUCUUCGUUUGGCUCCUUAAUAAUAAAACUUUCCCUUACAAUUUUGAUUAGGCACUUUCCAAUGAAAAAGUAUGUGUUUGUGUGUGUUUGUGUGUAUUUGUGUGUGCAAGCACCGGUCUCUUCCACAUCGAACAGGUAGUCCUCGACUUACAACCACAACGGAGCCCAAAUUUUCUGUGUCUAAGCGAGACAUCCAUUCAGUAAGUUUUGCCCUAUUUUUUUGCCACGGUUGUUAAGCGAAUCACCACAGUUGUUAAAUUAGUCCCCCGGUUGUUAAGGGAAUCUCGUUUCCUGUUGACUUUUCUCAGAAGGUCGCAAAAGGGGUUCAGGGAUACUGAAUAAGGUCAUAAAUGUGAGUCCGUUGCCAACCACCCGCAUGUAAAUCACGUGACCGUGGGGGAUGCCGCAACAGUCGUAAGUCUGAAAAAUGGCCAAAUAAGUCAUGUUUUUCAGCGUUGUCACUUCGAACGGUCGCUAAGUGUAACCGUCGUAAUUCGAGAACUUCUGUACAACCAAUAUCAUGUGUGUGUUUUCUCUCCAUUUCAGAUCAGGCGUUUUAUUCCCGUUCUGGUGCCACGCGACGCCAUCCGGAACAGAUGAAGCUACUGACCUUCGGCCGAGGGGAGUCGAUGGUCUCUCCCUCUUGCUGUCUUUGGCAAUGGUAGAACUCACACUGGUGAGCUAUCUGGUUCCGGUGGUUCUAGACUUGCCAACUACCGCCUGGGGGCUUAGCCACUGCUUUCUCCCUUUCCCUCCGGACCACCAAGGGGUUGAUGGUCAAGCUUCAAGGAUGACCGAAGAGCCAACCGGCAUCUCACCUCCUGGGUCAGUGGCUGGAGCAGAUCUUUCGGCAAAACAGAUCCCGACCCAUUCUGUGUCUGUGAAGAGUUGGAAGGGUCCUAAAAGAUCAUCUAGUCCUACCCCCUGCCUGGAUGCCAUAGGCUGAUCUUUCUAUUGGCUCGUCAACUUUUAACCAUUUCAUUUUUGCUGCUGUCUUGCCCAAAUGUAUUUCCUUGUAAUUCAAAUAUAUUAUCUCUUGCCUUGAAAAAUUGUUAAUAAAUGAAUGGAUAAAUAAAUGAUUGUAUCUG